GGUUUUACUUGUUCCAUUACAUAAAAUAUUCAAAUUUGAAAAAAAGACCACAAGCCAUAAAAAUUACAAAUACCUAAAGAUAUUUUCAGAUAACAACAUUUCCCUUUUGCUCCUGCUGGACAUGGUCUCUGCCCUUUCAGCUCGCAGUGCAGCAGUUUCCAUUUCGAGGUGUGAUGUUCUCAGGUCAGACCUGGACACAGGAACCUACCCAAAAUAGGGGUGUCCUAAGCCUGGUUCAUGAACCACUUGCAAGCUCCCCUCAAAGUUGCAGAAGGGCUGGAACUGCAGAAAGCUGAGAUAAGAGCCCUACCCCUUCCUUGGCACGAUGAACACGAUAUGAAGGAUGAAGAGGAACUCAAGGAUCUCCUCUGCUGGUACCCUUGACUGCAACCCAGUUCUGCUUUCUGAAUUAGAAAGUUGAAUGUGAAACGGAUUAACAUAAAAACCUACAGAAAAGGGCAAGUGGCAUUUCUGACGUGCCUGAGACACCCGUGCCCACGUGACUCACAGUUCAUGACUCGUGGAGUGAUGCCAUUCAUGCUGUCAAGAUUUUCCUUUGUACAUAUCUGAUCGGUUCAUGCCAGGUUUGGCUCCACGCCUUUUCAGAGGAGAGCCUCUAUGAUGAGGACAAGGUGGUCAGGCACUCGGUGCAGCAAUGGAGACAAGAUUAGAAGCUGGGGUGGGAGGUGGCUCCUACUCCACUAAGGCAUGGGAUCUGUGAGAAAUACCUCAGGAACACAUUGUCAGAGGUGUAUCUUUUUUUCUGGAGAGAUAGGUAUUCCCUGGAUGUGCUGUGGCAGCUCCUCAGCUGCCAUAAAUCAGUAUAAAUGCAUUCAUUUUAGUGGAGGUGUCGCGUCUGCUGGUAGUCAGGUCCUGUGAUG